rnacentral:Y_RNA from 1 species
GUCUGGUCCAAAUGCAGUGGUAUUUACAACUAAUUGAUCACAACCAGUUACAGAUUUCUUUGUUCCUUCUCCAUUUCCACUGCUUUACUUAACUAGCCUUAG